GGAUGCAGCCGAUAAACCCCACCCCUUCUGGAAUCCCUUUCCGGGGAGUGAUCUUUCAUAAACUCCUCUGAUUUGAGAAGAAACGCUGGGCUGGAAAGUUGGAGACUUCUUCAGAAACGUACGCGUUUCAGAGAAGUGGCUUCAUCAGAAGGGAUGCAGGGUGGGGUCCUGAGAAGCGUGACAGCUGGGAGUCCCGGCUGCUGGCCUGGGCUGCGCCAUUGUUAACCAGCUGUGUCGCUGUGGACGAGUCCCUGCCCUUCCGGCUGCUUGCUAUUUUAAGCUUCCUUAUGUGGGAAAUGAUGAAUGUCGACUCUGUUAUCUUUGUUAUCCCCCGAGACUCUAGCUCGUGUGGGACGAUUUUCCCCUGGUUAGGAAGGAAGGAAGGAAGAUGGGAAAAGAAACGGUGGGGAGGGGGCUGAGCAGAUACUGGGAAGUACGGAGGCUGUGAUGUCGCUCUCCAUGGCGGGGGUGUCCACCGGGUCACCGGCUUCUCCACUUCUCUCAGGGCUCUGUCUAAUCUUUCAUCUAUCACCAUCGCCAUGGAAACAGGCAGGGCUGCCGGCAGCAUCCAGGCAAGGUGUCCAGAAGCUUCUAGAAGCUCACGUCAGAACCGGGGGAUGGGGUGACAUCCACGACAGCGUACUGCACAGAAGUUCCAGGUGAUGUGGGCAUCCAGUGGUGACUACAGGAGCUUUAUUGUCCGGAGUCCUGAAUCCCAGCAAUGGAGUGAACGGAGCUGGACCCUCAGUUGUGCAGGAAGAAGGGGUAGUUGCAGAGUUUUCUAGGUGACAUUCAAACCAAGAACACAGGGAAAGCAAGAUCAGACCCCACUGUGAGCCCGCCAGAAAUACAGGCUCCCCCGGGGGGUUCAAGAUGGAUGUCUCAAAUUCAAGGUCAAGCGAGAAACGACUGCUGCCUAAUUCCACAAGCCUACAGACAAUUUUGCCAGAGAAAAACAGGGAAGGGAGGAAAGGAGCCAGCGGCAAGAGAAAGUUGUAAACACCUGUAUCUUAUUUUUAGAAUGGAGUCCUGAUUAUUUAAUGCAAAACCAGAAGUGAAAAUAAUACAGGACUAAGAGGAGCUCAAGGUUAGAAGUUGUGCUCAUAACUCGUGAGCAGAGGCCUUAGCAAAAUUAAAAACUUGGAAAAUUUGUCUUGGCCUCUCAUCCACUGCCUGCCAGACAUCGACGCUUUGCCAAAAGCAUCAGCGUUGCCGAAAAGCAACUUUCCAGCCCCAACUUUCCUGAAAGCAAAGGUUCUGUGUAUCUGUGAGCAGGGGAAGGAAAAACCUACGCGCAGUCACCCACUGGGGCCAGGGAGGCUCACACUUGCCCUUCCCUGCGCCUCCCCUGCCUGGGCAGCACAGAGAAGGCUGCAGCCCUCAUCUCCACCACCUGCCAGUCACCUCGACCGCCGGCCCCUCCCUCUGCCUUCCCCUCUUGGUGCCCAGGUCUCACUCCAGCUUCACUCCCAGGUUCUUUCCAAGCUUCCAGAACCACUUCGGAGGCGCAGGAACAACCGCUCGCCACUCCGUCCAUUUUCUUUGUUUUUAUUUAGUCUGUUGUCCGUAGCAGUCAUACGCACCAUGGGGGUUGCUGUGCAUAUACAACGCCUUAAUCCUGUCCACAUCCCCCUGUCCUCCAUUUUUCCCCUCUAUCUUUUUCCGUCCAUUUCCCAUCCUAGCAUCCACCAAUCCCAAAGGCUGCUUGGGGUCACAUUGACUAAACUGUGCACCACAGUCUGAAGAACAAAGGCUCCGCCCCACCACAUCUGGAGGGCCAGAGCUCCACCUCUCCACAUGCUGGGGUGGAAUUCAGUCUUCCCUGUCUCUGGCAGAGUGAUUUUCAUGCCGGGAUGAAGUGCUCUUGUGUCUGUUUCCAUGCAAGACUGACCCCUCUGGGGCACCGCGGUACCUGGUUUUCUAUAGCCUUGGCCCAAGGCUUGGGUUGGGCUUCAACUGUAUGUGGAAUUGAUAGGCGUGAAAUAAACACCUUUAAAGUUGUUACAAAGCUACAGAACUCAAAUAUUGCCAAGAUCACAAUGAAAUAAUUGUGAGAUGAGAAAUCAAGAAUUCAGGAUAGAUAAACUAAAAUUUAUGCCUCCUCCCUCUGAUAGAACAGCGACAUGGGACGCCUCCCAUCUACACCUGCACCCUGAGUACAUCAGUUCCGAAAGGAUGGGGAUCAGACGCAGCAUGGUUCCCCACAGAGCACAUCCUGUGGGGCCUUCAGAUGCCUCCAGCUCGGCACAGAGGCGGGUGCAGCUCAGUGGCAGCCUGGCGCUGUGCCACCUUCCCCAGACCCACCUUGCCAUGCAGCACCACGCAGUGGCAUCAGCUGUCCAGGUCCAAGUCCCAUCUCGACCCCUGGCUAAUACAGGCACCUCCUCAAAGGUCCGUUUCUUCCUUCAUAAAGGAGAGAAGCAACAGCAGCACCUUCACAAAGCUGCUUGGGAU